GUAGGGAUAUCACAGCGAGCAAUGAAAAUACAAGUGAUUAUAAACACAACAUAACUAUGUCUUUCAUAAACACAGCAGUCUGUCAUCGUCUCUACUUAGUACCUACAUGCAGCCACAGUGGCUCGUAGGCUAGCAAAACAAAUGUAUAACAUAAUUUUUGUUUUUCAUGUAGUGUUUCAAAAUUCUGGGGGACUGGGCCUGGCCUGAGAAGGUUUCCUCAUGGAGAUGCUGACGUGAAGAGAAACGAUAAUUUAGAAGUUCCAGACUUGGUUGAGUGGGACGAAUCGUAUUAAAAUAGUCUAAGCUGUAGGGAUUUAACUUGGAAUAUUUUAACACUUACUAGCGGUAGACAUAUAUGUUGUAUAUGUAAUGAAUAUAUGAUAAAUAACGGUGGGUUGAUCCUCGAAAGUGUUGAUUAUGUAGUUUAAGUGAGGAAAACGUGUUAAUUAAAAUCAAAAUUAAAAAGUCAACUUGCAAACAAUUGAUAUUUUCUGUGUUGGUGUAGUGUACUCAGGUAGUGAAUAAGACGCUUGUGAUGUUACUCUGAGUGUAUAUCCACACCGGGCAGGCUUGAAAAAUAUGCCUGGCCACGGUGGGAAUCGAACCUACGACCUGGAAUACUAGCCCAAUGCUCUGCCAACUGAGCUAUGCGGUCAGGUCGGUUCGAGUAUAUGAUAUUUCGGAACUGUGUCGAAGGAACUAGACUGCAUCAUAUUGCAAGCAUCAUAUUGACAAGCAUCAUAUUGCAAACAAUUAUUGUUCAACUGCCAGGCUGGAGGCAAUUCAUUCAUUCAAGAAGGGAAUGUAUAUUUGAAGAAAGAGCCAAAAUUUCCCCGAAGUCAAAAUAUUUUUAAAAAUAAAAGCAACUUUCUAUACUGCCAAGUUACGUUCCAUAUGUUUCCACAGCUUCAGUCCUAGUACAUUCACAAGCUACAGCAACAUGGAUUUUUUCCACUCUCCAAUAUUUACUUGUUAAAUUGCCUGGGUAAGGCAUCCUGACAACAUCAAGUUUUUUGUAUCUUGUAACACAAUGAUGUUCUCCUGUAUAAGAA